UACAGAGGGUGCAAACGUUGUUCGGAAUCACUGGGCAUAAAGCGUACGUAGGCGGCGUCGUAAGUGUCGGAUGAAAUCCCACGGCUUACCCGUGGAACGGUCCGGCAUACUGCGGUGCUAGAGGAUGGUAGAGGAGAGCGGAACUCUUGGUGGAGCGGUGAAAUGCGUAGAUAUCAAGAGGAACACCGGUGGCGAAGGCGGCUCUCUGGUCCAUGUCUGACGCUGAGGUACGAAAGCUAGGGGAGCAAACAGG
rnacentral:rRNA from 1 species